AACCGAAGGCGUCUACGUGCGCUGCAAUGCGAAGCACGAGCACGAGUCGUUAAUUUCACCAUUUGCCUUCUCGCACAGUGAGUACUCCGAUAAGCCGCCCGCAAGCUAUAGCAGAUGUGUACGUACAUACGAGCACUACCAUAUAUAUACUAUAUAUACACUAUACAGUCAUAUAUGACUGAUUGUCUGCCGAGGCCCAAGACAUCGGUUGGCGUAAACAGCUUAUCAGCCGGGUGAUGUGGUGGUGGUUACCCGUCGAAACCGCUGGAACGGCGGCCAGCUCGAGAAACCUGUACAGACGGCUGUUGGGAAGCCGAGAAGCCGCCGGCGGCAACAUGCAAUCACCGCCGGAGCAAAGUACAGCAGGGCGACCGACGUCAUCGUGGAACGCUGACGCAACGACCUUGUCGAUCGGCCCACCUCCCGACUCUCCCACGACCCACCCACCUUUAUGACGCCAGACCAAUGUCCAAACGAUCGGAGGAUGCUGAGCGACUUAGGUUUCUCGGAAUCUCGGAAUCUUAACGAGCAGGAAUUUUGUUUGGCUCAUGCUAGGCGGAACUGACUUUGAUUACGAAUAGAUUAAAGUACGGAACUGAUUUAACAACUUUGUUUUCCCAAGUCCUAUAGCCCUGAUUAGUUGAAAAGCAACUUACUAUAAAAUAAAAGGUUUUUAUAAGGGGUUA